UAUUUUCAUUAUUUUAUCGUGUAAAAAAACAAUGAUUUCAGGAAGAGCAUUGCAUUUUGUGUUUAAAGUAUCGGAUAGAACUUUGACUGCGAAGUUCUAUCGGGAAAUCUUAGGCAUGAAGGUUCUGAGGCACGAGGAAUUCAAAGAAGGGUGUGAAGCAGCAUGCAAUGGUCCAUAUGACAAUAGGUGGAGUAAGACCAUGGUUGGAUAUGGCCCAGAAGACACACAUUUUGUGAUAGAACUGACAUACAAUUAUGGUGUUACAUCAUAUGAAAAGGGAAAUGAUUUCUUGGGAUUGACAAUACGAUCUAAAGAAGCUAUAGAGAAAGCUAAAGCACAAGGCUGGCCUUUAAAAGAAGAGAGUGGACUACAUGUUUUAGAAGCACCUGGAGGCUACAGAUUUUUACUUAUCAAUGAACCCCAACCAACAGGCAAAGAUCCUGUGGAGAAGGUAACCCUAGCCAGCUCUAAUUUGCAACGAUCAAUUGAUUAUUGGAAUGAAAUUCUUGGCUUGAAAAUCUAUAGUCAAAAUAACAAGAAGGUUGUUCUUGGAUUUUCUGACAGUCAGACAAAGGUGGAACUUGAAGACAUUGGUACUGCAGUGGAGCAUGCUAAAGCAUAUGGACGCAUUGCCUUUUCUUGUCCUUUUGAAGAACAGCCAAAAAUAGAUGAAAAGAUUAGAGCCAAGAACCAUGCAAUAUUAACACCUCUUAUAUCACUGGACACACCAGGAAAAGCUACAGUGCGAGUCAUCAUAUUAGCUGAUCCGGAUGGUCAUGAGAUUUGUUUUGUGGAUGAUGAGGGAUUUCGUAAACUAUCUGAAUUUGACCCAGAAGGCGAGAAACUGCUGGAUCGAUACAUUGCAAAGGAUAAAUCAAGAGAAUGAAUGACAGUUACAAAGAAGCAGAAGGGCAUGGUUGACGAAUAUUCUUUGAAGGCAGAAUUUGCAUUUAAGAGAAAAAAGAUACCAAUCUGAUCUGCAUAACAUGUAUGUAAAUCUUGGUUAUAUCACACUAAAUGUACAUUGUAACACUAACUUGCCCUGUUGAAUAUUUUUGUAGUUUUCUGAAGUUAGUAUGGGCUAGAUAUUCCAUAUUUUUCCUUUUUAUGCAGCUAUACCCCAUAUAAUGUCACUGUACAUUGCCAGUAUUUUGAAUUUACACUGUUAAGCAAAUAGAAUGUAUAUUUGGACAUUUUUAUUCUUCUUUAUCAAAUCUGGUAUUAGUUUGUUAUAAUCAUCUUUCUCACUUGUAUGUUGUAUUUUGUUUUAUUUUUUUCCUUCAGAGUAUUUAACAGUACUCAAGGUAAUUCUUUGAUUCAAGUGUUUUAUGUGUAUUUUUUAAUGUGUAAUAAAAUAUAUAAAACAUAAUAUUUUAAAGCCUUUUUCAGUUUUAUUUGUUGGCAGUAGAAAAACAUCCCCAUUUACUACAUUGGGAAAAAUUGCUUCACUGUACAUCAUUUUCCUAUACAUUCUGUUUUUUGGACAUUGACUGGAAUAUAGCUGUAUAUAUAUAUAUCUGUUGCUUUCUCCAAGAGAGGUAAAAACAUAGACCCCUGCAAAUGCGGGACAAAUUGGAAUAAAAAAAAUGUAUCUGUUGCUUAUAGAUGAUAUUUAUACAUAUUGGAUGUAAAGUGUAUAUUUUAUUACUGUAUUUGAUAGUCUGUAUUAUUUAGAACAUGUAUGCCUUACAUAUGAAUGAUAUUAACGAAACCUGUAUAGUUACUGGUUUGGAAAAGAAGUGACAAAGUGAUAAAUAUUCCUUUUUCUCCUUAUAGCAUAUUUAAAUUUUAUAUGGGUUAUUGGUCAUAAUUAUUAAAUAUUAAUAUAAUAAUUUCCCAAAGUUUUGUUACAGUAGUUUGUUCCUGUCACACUUAUGUUGGACACUGUCUUGUCUGAGGUACACAGAACAAAACACAUGGUGAUCGCAACACAACUCCAAGCCUGGUGUGGAUUAAGGUGUUUGCCUGCUUUGCUAGUGUUUCAUGAUGCCUUUGGUUCACAAAAUGUGGUGUAGUGAAAAAGGCUCAGUAUAAAAAUGCCACCAAAUGUGUCAAAAUUAAAUUUAAAAAAAUGUAUUUAGUUAUACUAAAUAUGCUCCCACAGACCUUUUGCUGUCUUUCUCCCCCUUGCCCAUUCCAUCUUCUCUUUCUGUUUUCAUUCACGUAGCUGAAGCACAGUUAUGUUGUGGCCACUAUACUUGAGAGUUGGCUGUAAUGUCAUCUUCAGCUGUUGUCAUUAUAUUGACAAGUUUUUAGUAUUUCUUUUAUUUUAAGGUUAGUGGUGACAGUUAAAAUCAAACCCAGGACCUUUUCAGCACUAAGCUAGUAUUCUGAGUACAAUUAGCCACCACUUGACAGCAAAGGAAUUUGAAAUAGUUCUGUUGUCUCUAUAGAGUUCAGUUUAUUUAUGGGAUUAUUCAUUUGGCUUGAUUUGCAGCUUGACCAGUUUAUUUGCAUUUAAACGGCCAGAAUUAUUCUAUAGUGGCAAUUCUUAUGCAAAUUGUAAUGUACUGAACUUCAGGUUUUCACAGCGCUGCCAAGUGGGUAGCAUACCAAUUUCCUGCACAUCCACAUCACUUAUCACUUGGUUCAGAGUCAUUACAGAAUGUUAUUUUUCCUUUAAAGGAGGGACAACUGUGUGCUAUGACUCAGGGGUAAGCAAACUGACUUAAAUUAUUGUUUUUGCUUGUGAUCCUUUAUCUUGCAUUCUUUAUAUAAGCAUGUUAAUUUUAAAGGAAAUACCUAACCUUACAUUUAUUUAAAUCAAAUUUUACAAGUUCAAAGUACAUUUUCUAUGUUGAUUGUCGUCUUACAGGGUUCUGACAGUGUAGUCUUGAAGAUGGUUAUCAUUGUUGCUCUGAAACAUGGCAUCACAACCCAGAAGUCCAUAAUCAACAUCAUUGCUGUGAGAAUGUUGAAUCUCAAGUACAUUUUUAUGAUGUGACCAUCAUUUCUCUUCGACUAUAGACACGAGUCAUCUCACUGUAUCUUUCUAUACUAUAUUAUACUCUACUUACUAUACUGCACACCCUAAUUUACUAGACAUGGCAGUACACCAAAACAACUUUUCCUCAGAACAUAACACGUUGAAUAAAACCAUCUGUGAUAAACCGUUGUGUCUGUGUGUGAGUGAGUGAAUCAUGAAUUCUGAUUCUGAAGGAUAUUUCCUUUUCUAACUAUAACAUACAAAUAUAAAAUUUAUUUUAAAAAUUUGUGGCUUACCUGAAACCUUGUAUGGGCACAUUGUUUGCAGAACACUGCUGUACUGUUUGCCAGGGUAUCUGGACAAGACCUAGACUAUUUUCAUUUAAGAACAUACCAGUGUCUGUUACUGUCAUUAGUGUGUGUUCCUAGCCUACUUUUGCAUUAGUGGGACCAAAACUGUGGCAGUUUAACUAAAUUAUGGGUUGAUACGAUAUGUGAAUUUUGUGGAGUCUUUAUCAUUCAAUUCUACAUUUAAAGCUUUCAUAAUCAUGUUGAAUGCCCGUUUCUUUCAGCAUAGAACUACAUGCCAAACCGCCUCAGCACUUUUAUUUUUAGAAUUACACCCAUGAUUGUUAUUGCUUAUUAGUUCUAGAAUUAUUUUCCUAAUGUGUUAACAGUUAAAUAUAUGAUCCCCACUAAGAUGUGUUACAGGUUCAAAUAUUUGGUGGACAAAAUAAAGGUUCAGUAUUACAAUU